rnacentral:rRNA from 1 species
AGAGUUUGAUCCUGGCUCAGAUUGAACGCUAGCGGGAUGCUUUACACAUGCAAGUCGAACGGCAGCACGAGAGAGCUUGCUCUCUUGGUGGCGAGUGGCGGACGGGUGAGUAAUAUAUCGGAACGUGCCCAGUAGCGGGGGAUAACUACUCGAAAGAGUGGCUAAUACCGCAUACGCCCUACGGGGGAAAGGGGGGGAUCGCAAGACCUCUCACUAUUGGAGCGGCCGAUAUCGGAUUAGCUAGUUGGUGGGGUAAAGGCUCACCAAGGCAACGAUCCGUAGCUGGUUUGAGGAGGGCGUUCAGGCACACAGUGGACUGAGAAACUUGACCAGACUCCUACGGGAGGCAGCAGUGGGGAAUUUUGGACAAUGGGAGAAACCCUGAUCAAGCCAUUCCGCGUGUAUUGAUGAAGGGCCUCGGGUUGUAAAGUACUUUUGCAAGAGAAAGAAAAGGCAUCCCCUAAUACGGGAUGCUGCUGACGGUAUCUGCAGAAUAAGCACCGGCUACUACGUGCCAGCAGCCGCGGUAAUACGUAGGGUGCAAGCGUUAAAUCGGAAUUACUGGGCGUAAAGCGUGUGUAGGCGGUUCGGAAAGAAAGAUGUGAAAUCCCAGGGCUCAACCUUGGGAACUGCAUUUUUAACUGCCGAGCUAGAGUAUGUCAGAGGGGGGUAGAAUUCCACGUGUAGCAGUGAAAUGCGUAGAUAUGUGGAGGAAUACCGAUGGCGAAGGCAGCCCCCUGGGAUAAUACUGACGCUCAGACACGAAAGCGUGGGGAGCAAACAGGAUUAGAUACCCUGGUAGUCCACGCCCUAAACGAUGUCAACUAGCUGUUGGGGCCGUUAGGCCUUAGUAGCGCAGCUAACGCGUGAAGUUGACCGCCUGGGGAGUACAGUCGCAAGAUUAAAACUCAAAAGGAAUUGACGGGGACCCGCACAAGCGGUGGAUGAUGUGGAUUAAUUCGAUGCAACGCGAAAAACCUUUACCUACCCUUGACAUGUCUGGGAAUGCCGAAGAGAUUUGGCAGUGCUCGCCAAGAAGAACCGGAACACAGGUGCUGCAUGGCUGUCGUCAGCUCGUGUCGUGAGAAUGUUGGGUUAAGUCCCGCAACGAGCGCAACCCUUGUCAUUAGUUGCUACGCAAGAGCACUCUAAUGAGACUGCCGGUGACAAACCGGAGGAAGGUGGGGAUGACGUUCAAGUUCUCUCAUGGCCCUUAUGGGAUAGGGCUUCACACGUCAUACAAUGGUCGGGACAGAGGGUCGCCAACCCGCGAGGGGGAGCCAAUCUCAGAAACCCGAUCGUAGUCCGGAUCGCAGUCUGCAACUCGACUGCGUGAAGUCGGAAUCGCUAGUAAUCGCGGAUCAGAAUGUCGCGGUGAAUACGUUCCCGGGUCUUGUACACACCGCCCGUCACACCAUGGGAGUGGGUUUCACCAGAAGUAGGUAGCCUAACCGCAAGGAGGGCGCUUACCACGGUGGGAUUCAUGACUGGGGUGAAGUCGUAACAAGGUAACCGU